rnacentral:rRNA from 1 species
UACCAUGCAAGUCGAGCGGAAGGCCCUUCGGGGUACUCGAGCGGCGAACGGGUGAGUAACACGUGAGUAACCUGCCCCUGACUCUGGGAUAAGCCCGGGAAACUGGGUCUAAUACCGGAUACGACCACUUCUCGCAUGGGAUGGUGGUGGAAAGUUUUUUCGGUUGGGGAUGGACUCGCGGCCUAUCAGCUUGUUGGUGGGGUAAUGGCCUACCAAGGCGACGACGGGUAGCCGGCCUGAGAGGGCGACCGGCCACACUGGGACUGAGACACGGCCCAGACUCCUACGGGAGGCAGCAGUGGGGAAUAUUGCGCAAUGGGCGAAAGCCUGACGCAGCGACGCCGCGUGGGGGAUGACGGCCUUCGGGUUGUAAACCUCUUUCAGCAGGGACGAAGUUGACGUGUACCUGCAGAAGAAGCGCCGGCUAACUACGUGCCAGCAGCCGCGGUAAUACGUAGGGCGCAAGCGUUGUCCGGAAUUAUUGGGCGUAAAGAGCUCGUAGGUGGCUUGUCACGUCGGGUGUGAAAGCUUGGGGCUUAACUCCAGGUCUGCAUUCGAUACGGGCUGGCUAGAGGUAGGUAGGGGAGAACGGAAUUCCUGGUGUAGCGGUGAAAUGCGCAGAUAUCAGGAGGAACACCGGUGGCGAAGGCGGUUCUCUGGGCCUUACCUGACGCUGAGGAGCGAAAGCGUGGGGAGCGAACAGGAUUAGAUACCCUGGUAGUCCACGCUGUAAACGUUGGGCGCUAGGUGUGGGGACCUUCCACGGUUUCCGCGCCGUAGCUAACGCAUUAAGCGCCCCGCCUGGGGGAGUACGGGUGCAAGGCUAAAACUCAA